rnacentral:rRNA from 1 species
ACGGGUGAGUAAUGUCUGGGGAUCUGCCCGAUAGAGGGGGAUAACCACUGGAAACGGUGGCUAAUACCGCAUAACGUCGCAAGACCAAAGAGGGGGACCUUCGGGCCUCUCACUAUCGGAUGAACCCAGAUGGGAUUAGCUAGUAGGCGGGGUAAUGGCCCACCUAGGCGACGAUCCCUAGCUGGUCUGAGAGGAUGACCAGCCACACUGGAACUGAGACACGGUCCAGACUCCUACGGGAGGCAGCAGUGGGGAAUAUUGCACAAUGGGCGCAAGCCUGAUGCAGCCAUGCCGCGUGUAUGAAGAAGGCCUUCGGGUUGUAAAGUACUUUCAGCGGGGAGGAAGGCGAUGCGGUUAAUAACCGCGUCGAUUGACGUUACCCGCAGAAGAAGCACCGGCUAACUCCGUGCCAGCAGCCGCGGUAAUACGGAGGGUGCAAGCGUUAAUCGGAAUUACUGGGCGUAAAGCGCACGCAGGCGGUCUGUUAAGUCAGAUGUGAAAUCCCCGGGCUUAACCUGGGAACUGCAUUUGAAAGUGGGCAGGCUUGAGUCUUGUAGAGGGGGGUAGAAUUCCAGGUGU